UACGUAGGGUGCAAGCGUUAAUCGGAAUUACUGGGCGUAAAGCGUGCGCAGGCGGUUUUGUAAGUCUGUCGUGAAAGCCCCGGGCUCAACCUGGGAAUUGCAUUGGAGACUGCAAGGCUAGAAUCUGGCAGAGGGGGGUAGAAUUCCACGUGUAGCAGUGAAAUGCGUAGAGAUGUGGAGGAACAUCGAUGGCGAAGGCAGCCCCCUG
rnacentral:rRNA from 1 species